CGGGGUGUGGCGCAGCUUGGUAGCGCACUUGCAUGGGGUGCAAGGGGUCGGAGGUUCGAAUCCUCUCACCCCGACCA
rnacentral:tRNA from 2 species